AGAGUUUGAUCCUGGCUCAGGAUGAACGCUAGCGGCAGGCUUAACACAUGCAAGUCGAGGGGUAACAGGGUGCUUGCACCGCUGACGACCGGCGCACGGGGGCGUGCGUAUACAAUCUACCUUUUACAGAGAGAUACCCCAGAGAAAUUUGGAAUAAUACCUCAUAAUAUUAUUGCUCGGCAUCGAGUGACAAUUAAAGUUUCGGCGGUAAAAGAUGAGUAUGCGUCCUAUUAGCUAGUUGGUAAGGUAACGGCUUACCAAGGCGACGAUAGGUAGGGGUCCUGAGAGGGAGAUCCCCCACACUGGUACUGAGACACGGACCAGACUCCUACGGGAGGCAGCAGUGAGGAAUAUUGGUCAAUGGGCGCAAGCCUGAACCAGCCAUCCCGCGUGCAGGAUGACGGCCCUAUGGGUUGUAAACUGCUUUUAUACACCAAGAAAAACACCCACGUGUGGGUGCCCGACGGUAGUGUAUGAAUAAGCAUCGGCUAACUCCGUGCCAGCAGCCGCGGUAAUACGGAGGAUGCAAGCGUUAUCCGGAUUCAUUGGGUUUAAAGGGUGCGUAGGCGGCUUUUUAAGUCAGUGGUGAAAUCCUGCCGCUUAACGGUAGAAUUGCCAUUGAUACUGAAAAGCUUGAGUACAUUUGAGGAAGCGGAAUGUGUAGUGUAGCGGUGAAAUGCUUAGAUAUUACACAGAACACCAAUUGCGAAGGCAGCUUACUAAACUGAUACUGACGCUGAUGCACGAAAGCGUGGGGAGCGAACAGGAUUAGAUACCCUGGUAGUCCACGCCGUAAACGAUGCUCACUCGCUGUUUGCGAUACACAGCAAGCGGCCAAGCGAAAGCAUUAAGUGAGCCACCUGGGGAGUACGAUCGCAAGGUUGAAACUCAAAGGAAUUGACGGGGGCCCGCACAAGCGGAGGAACAUGUGGUGUUUAAUUCGAUGAUACGCGAGGAACCUUACCUGGGCUUAAAUGUAGAGCGACAGAUUGUGAAAGCAGUCCUUCUUCGGACGAUCUACAAGGUGCUGCAUGGUUGUCGUCAGCUCGUGCCGUGAGGUGUCGGGUUAAGUCCCAUAACGAGCGCAACCCUUAUCGUUAGUUGCCAGCGGGUCAAGCCGGGGACUCUAGCGAGACUGCCACCGUAAGGUGUGAGGAAGGUGGGGAUGACGUCAAAUCAGCACGGCCCUUAUGUCCAGGGCUACACACGUCAUACAAUGGCUGGUACAAAGGGUUGCCAACCCGCGAGGGGGAGCUAAUCCCAUAAAGCCAGUCGUAGUCCGGAUCGUAGUCUGCAACUCGACUACGUGAAGUCGGAAUCGCUAGUAAUCGUGGAUCAGAAUGUCACGGUGAAUACGUUCCCGGGUCUUGUACACACCGCCCGUCACACCAUGGGAGCGGGUUCUGCCAGAAGUAGUUAGCCUAACCGCAAGGAGGGCGAUUACCACGGCAGGGUUCGUGACUGGGGUGAAGUCGUAACAAGGUAACCC
rnacentral:rRNA from 1 species